GCCGGCGCUGCGCGAGCCGGCACGGCCCGGCACUGCACGGCUGCCGGGCGUUCUGCGGGGUCAGGCUCCCUUUCCCGUGUUCCGUUUGUAUGAGGGAGGAUGUGCCUGAGUGCUGUGCUGCUGGUGGAAAAGGAACCUGCCUCUGGGGAGAGGAGGAACGUGCUGUCACAUCCCAGUGCCAUCCAGUUCUGGCAGCCCAAGCUGAAAGACUGCACAAACAACUUUUGCCUUGUGACUGUUUUCCUCAGCUACUUGCCAACAGUGGGGCAGAAGAGAAUUGGAGAAGCAUGAGUAUCUGUGCAGGGAUGUAGAAUACCAGGCUUGGAGUACCUAUGCUGUCAUCUGCAGAGGUGUAAGAGUGAAGCUUCUGGCAUAAAUCACCCAUUUUACAGGAUUUCAUCUGAAGAGCUCAAGUGGCUAACAUACAUUGUGCUUCAAAGUUAAUGAGAACACCCUUAAGAAAUGGUGAGAGCCACUUCAAAACACUGCAGAAUAAUUUUACAGGAUAGAGUCAUCAGAGAGUUACAAAAAACCAUCUUCUGAAAGCCAUUGAGGACUACUUUGUCAUCAGACCAGUUGGAUCUCAUUUGGACAGCUCGUCAUCAGCUCUCAGCAAUAGUUUAUUGUGUUGUCACAAGCACAGGCAACCUUUUCUGAGGUUUGGCCUUUAGCUGAUUGUGUAGAAUUCUCUGCUAGUCCAGUAGAGGAUUGUGAGAGUGCUGAUCUGAAUGGGCAAAGGUAAACCGGAGUAAACAUAUCUGACAGGAUUCAAGAUUGUUCUGACAUUCUUGCUUCAUGUGUCCUUUCCUGUUAAAGUGCUCCAGCAGCAUCUAAGUUUAUUGAAUGAAGCAGAUAUGCCAGGGACCUAGGUGCUCAUGGCUUACUCUAACACAACUGCCAUGUUGGUUCCAGUGGGGGAGGCUGCCUACAUUUUUCCUAAGUAACUGAAGAAGUCUGGAACCUGCUAACAGAUGAGAUGGAGCUGUGUGGAAACUAUGGGACAUCUAAUUGCUAGCAUAAUUUGUAUUGUCAGCUUAUCAGUGUUUAUGGUUUGUUGGGAGACUAAAUAUUAGUCAAAAUGUUUUAUAUAUUGUUAAGUUUUAUUUUUGUCAAGUUUGUUUUCUUCUUUUUACUGAAAAAAAAACCCAAACAAAAACUGUGUGGGAAAAACUUUUAUGGAUGCAUAAUUUGUCUCAACCAUUUUUACCCGGGACCUGCUACAAGAAUUUAUAUGUAUUUGGAAUCACACAAUUAUGUAUCAACCUUUCCAGGUCUGUCUCAGAUGGUUUUAAAUUUAUGUUAAUUUGGCUAAAUUUUUUACAUGAGAAAUGGUUGAGUCCCCCUUCCUAAACCAGAAGGUGGGAUACCUAUAGACUACAAAUGAGAUGUUUAUAAAACACAGAAAGCCUUUUACUAGCUCUCAAGCAAACCAAGUAUGUUAUAUAUUUGCAUAAAGAUGAAAAUGUUUUUCUGUUUUGUAUGAAAAUUUUCUAUAACAAAAGUAAAAUUUUCAUAGUGUAUAGAAUUACCCAGCAAAGACAUAUUGAGCCCACAUCCAACAGACAACGUAUUGUGGAAUCAGUAUUAAAUCCUGAUUUUUGUGUUUGUUGAUAUUGAGGUAUAACUACUUGGUGUAACUACUCAGACCCUGAUAAUCCAAUCACACCCUGUGAUUAUUCUCCUCAUACUUACUAUUUUACUUUUUGUUUUAGUAAUUGCAUAGUACUGGACAACAAUUUGUCUUUACUUUUUACUCUUUCUUCUCUCUUUUGUCCUGUCCAUUAUGCAAAACUACCACCUUGAAGAAGGUUUGAAUUACUGAAUGUAUUGAGUCACUUGGUGGUGUAAAAGACUGAAGGUCUUAAGGGAUAAUGACUCAAAAAAUUUCCCCAUUUGUGGAGAUGCCAGAGUGCUUUGCUGAGGCAGAGGAGGUGAGCAGUUGGGUGUGCAGUGGCUAAAUCUCUGAUCUAAAAAGACAGAGGGUGAAGGAUGGGCUAUGAGUGAGACAGCAGAGGGUCCUGUGGAGUCGGGCAGGUGCCUCUUGCCAUGCUGAGUUGUCCUGCCUUGCACAGAA